UACGUAGGGGGCGAGCGUUAUCCGGAAUUACUGGGCGUAAAGCGCACGCAGGCGGUCUGUCAAGUCGGAUGUGAAAUCCCCGGGCUCAACCUGGGAACUGCAUUCGAAACUGGCAGGCUAGAGUCUUGUAGAGGGGGGUAGAAUUCCAGGUGUAGCGGUGAAAUGCGUAGAGAUCUGGAGGAAUACCGGUGGCGAAGGCGGCCCCCUGGACAAAGACUGACGCUCAGGUGCGAAAGCGUGGGGAGCAAACAGG
rnacentral:rRNA from 1 species